GAGGGGAUAGCUCAGUGGUAGAGGGCAUGCUUAGCAUGCGUGAGGUCAUGGGUUCAAUCCCCAGUACCUCUG
rnacentral:tRNA from 1 species